GGGUGGUAAUACCGGAUGCUCCGCUCCAUCGCAUGGUGGGGUGGGAAAUGCUUUUGCGGCAUGGGAUGGGGUCGCGUCCUAUCAGCUUGUUGGCGGGGUGAUGGCCCACCAAGGCGUUGACGGGUAGCCGGCCUGAGAGGGUGACCGGCCACAUUGGGACUGAGAUACGGCCCAGACUCCUACGGGAGGCAGCAGUGGGGAAUAUUGCACAAUGGGCGCAAGCCUGAUGCAGCGACGCCGCGUGCGGGAUGGAGGCCUUCGGGUUGUAAACCGCUUUUGUUCAAGGGCAAGGCACGGUUUCGGCCGUGUUGAGUGGAUUGUUCGAAUAAGCACCGGCUAACUACGUGCCAGCAGCCGCGGUAAUACGUAGGGUGCGAGCGUUAUCCGGAUUUAUUGGGCGUAAAGGGCUCGUAGGCGGUUCGUCGCGUCCGGUGUGAAAGUCCAUCGCCUAACGGUGGAUCUGCGCCGGGUACGGGCGGGCUGGAGUGCGGUAGGGGAGACUGGAAUUCCCGGUGUAACGGUGGAAUGUGUAGAUAUCGGGAAAGAACACCA
rnacentral:rRNA from 1 species